UCGAACGGGGAUGCAUUAAGAAGGAGUGCUUGCAUUCCGGAAGGAUGUAUCUUAGUGGCGGACGGGUGAGUAACGCGUGGGUAACCUGCCCCAUACCGGGGGAUACCACCUGGAAACAGGUGCUAAUACCGCAUAAGCGCACGGGAGCGCAUGCUCCUGUGUGAAAAACUCCGGUGGUAUGGGAUGGACCCGCGUCUGAUUAGCCAGUUGGCAGGGUAACGGCCUACCAAAGCGACGAUCAGUAGCCGGCCUGAGAGGGUGGACGGCCACAUUGGGACUGAGACACGGCCCAAACUCCUACGGGAGGCAGCAGUGGGGAAUAUUGCACAAUGGGGGAAACCCUGAUGCAGCGACGCCGCGUGAGUGAAGAAGUAUUUCGGUAUGUAAAGCUCUAUCAGCAGGAACGAGACAAGACGGUACCUGACUAAGAAGCCCCGGCUAACUACGUGCCAGCGGCCGCGGUAAUACGUAGGGGGCAAGCGUUAUCCGGAAUCACUGGGUGUAAAGGGAGCGUAGACGGCUGUGCAAGCCUGAAGUGAAAGGCGGGGGCCCAACCCCCGGACUGCUUUGGGAACUGUACGGCUGGAGUGCAGGAGAGGUAAGUGGAAUUCCUAGUGUAGCGGUGAAAUGCGUAGAUAUUAGGAGGAACACCAGUGGCGAAGGCGGCUUACUGGACUGUAACUGACGUUGAGGCUCGAAAGCGUGUGGAGCAAACAGGAUUAGAUACCCUG
rnacentral:rRNA from 1 species